CGACCUCCAAUCAUCCCCAAGGUAGAUGAAAGAGAUUCAUUGCUGGAACAGAUACGAACAAAGUCCUUCAACUUGAAGCCUGCAGUUGUGUUGACCGGACCACGCGUUCAGGGUCCUAAAACCAACAUAAGAAUUGCAGCAAUCUUGGAGAAAGCAAAUGCAAUUCGCCAGGCAUUGGCCGGAAGCGAUGAAGAUAGUUGGAGUGAUUCUUGAACUCUAC